CAGUCGACGGCAGCACGGGUGCUUGCACCUGGUGGCGAGUGGCGAACGGGUGAGUAAUACAUCGGAACGUACCUUAUCGUGGGGGAUAACGCAGCGAAAGCUGUGCUAAUACCGCAUACGCCCUGAGGGGGAAAGCGGGGGAUCGAAAGACCUCGCGCGAUUAGAGCGGCCGAUGCCUGAUUAGCUUGUUGGUGGGGUAAAAGCCCACCAAGGCGACGAUCAGUAGCUGGUCUGAGAGGACGAUCAGCCACACUGGGACUGAGACACGGCCCAGACUCCUACGGGAGGCAGCAGUGGGGAAUUUUGGACAAUGGGGGAAACCCUGAUCCAGCAAUGCCGCGUGAGUGAAGAAGGCCUUCGGGUUGUAAAGCUCUUUUGUCAGGGAAGAAACACCGGCUCUAACACAGUCCGGGAAUGACGGUACCUGAAGAAUAAGCACCGGCUAACUACGUGCCAGCAGCCGCGGUAAUACGUAGGGUGCGAGCGUUAAUCGGAAUUACUGGGCGUAAAGCGUGCGCAGGCGGUUAUACAAGACAGGCGUGAAAUCCCCGGGCUUAACCUGGGAAUGGCGCCUGUGACUGUAUAGCUAGAGUGUGUCAGAGGGGGGUAGAAUUCCACGUGUAGCAGUGAAAUGCGUAGAUAUGUGGAGGAAUACCAAUGGCGAAGGCAGCCCCCUGGGAUAACACUGACGCUCAUGCACGAAAGCGUGGGGAGCAAACAGGAUUAGAUACCCUGAUAGUCCACGCCCUAAACGAUGCUGACUAGUUGUUCGGGAUUUACAUCCUGAGUAACGUAGCUACGCGUGAAGUCAGCCGCCUGGGGAGUACGGUCGCAAGAUUAAAACUCAAAGGAAUUGACGG
rnacentral:rRNA from 1 species